AAUCAACGCUGGCGGCGUGCCUAACACAUGCAAGUCGAACGAGAAAGCGGGGGCAACUCCGUGAGUAAAGUGGCAGACGGGUGAGUAACACGUGAACAACCUGCCCUCGAGUGGGGAAUAACACCGCGAAAGCGGUGCUAAUGCCGCAUAACAUCUCCGGAUCGCAUGGUUUGGAGAUCAAAAGCGAAAGUUGCUUGGGGAGGGGUUCGCGCCUGAUUAGCUAGUUGGUGAGGUAACGGCCCACCAAGGCAACGAUCAGUAGCCGGCCUGAGAGGGCGAACGGCCACACUGGAACUGAGACACGGUCCAGACUCCUACGGGUGGCAG
rnacentral:rRNA from 1 species